GUUCCAAAUCAAAUGAGGGACCAUCCACCUCCAAAGCUCAGCUUAGAACAUUGGGUGUAAAUAAGAUGGACUAUACAAGGUCCAUCUGGAGAAACAAACUGCAAAGUGUGAUCCUCAGUGAUCAUGCACAGAGCCUGACCAUUUGGCUUCAAUAAUGUGGGGAGCAUCACAUAAGAUCUUAAUGAAAGCAUCUCCAUAAGAUGGAGAACAGUAGGUUGCAGAACAUGUAUUAAAUGUUUGACUGUUUUAUUUGACAUUUGUUAAUUUUUGAAGAUAAUGGUCACUACCUGUAUGUGGAGGGAUAUUCUGU